rnacentral:pre_miRNA from 1 species
CUGUCCUACGGGUGAGUUCAACUAAUCAAGUUUUAAGCUUGAAAUUUGUUUUCUAUUGAGAUUCUAAAAACUUGACACGUUGAGCUCCUUUGUGCGAUAG